rnacentral:SRP_RNA from 1 species
GCCGGGUAUAGUAGCUUGUGCCUGUAAUUCCCAGCUCCUUGGGAGGCUGAGACUGUAAAAUCAUACGAGCUCAGGGGUUCUGGACUGCAGUGGGUCAUGCUGAUCAGGUGUCCAUACUAAGGUCAGCAUCAAUAUGGUGACCUUUGGGAAACGGUAGGUUACCAGGUUGUUUAAGAAGGCGUGAACCGGCCCAUGUCAGAAAUGGAGCAGGUCAAAGCUCCUGUGUUUUGGGUUUUUUUUAAUUAAUUUUCUUUUAUUAUUAAUUAAACAUUCAACAUUAACACACACAUUUAUCAAUCUACU